rnacentral:rRNA from 1 species
UACGAAGGGGGCUAGCGUUGCUCGGAAUCACUGGGCGUAAAGCGCACGUAGGCGGAUCUUCAAGUCAGGGGUGAAAUCCUGGAGCUCAACUCCAGAACUGCCUUUGAUACUGAGGAUCUUGAGUCCGGGAGAGGUGAGUGGAACUCCGAGUGUAGAGGUGAAAUUCGUAGAUAUUCGGAAGAACACCAGUGGCGAAGGCGGCUCACUGGCCCGGUACUGACGCUGAGGUGCGAAAGCGUGGGGAGCAAACAGG